rnacentral:rRNA from 1 species
UACGGAGGAUGCGAGUGUUAUCCGGAUUUAUUGGGUUUAAAGGGUGCGUAGGCGGGCUUUUAAGUCAGCGGUAAAAAUUCGGGGCUCAACCCCGUCCGGCCGUUGAAACUGGGGGUCUUGAGUGGGCGAGAAGAAGGCGGAAUGCGUGGUGUAGCGGUGAAAUGCAUAGAUAUCACGCAGAACCCCGAUUGCGAAGGCAGCCUUCCGGCGCCCUACUGACGCUGAGGCACGAAAGUGCGGGGAUCGAACAGG